UCNGUAACUGACGCUGAGGCUCGAAAGCGUGGGGAGCGAACAGGAUUAGAUANCCUGGUAGUCCACGCCGUAAACGAUGAGUGCUAGGUGUUAGGCCCUUUUCCGGGGCUUAGUGCCGCAGCUAACGCAUUAAGCACUCCGCCUGGGGAGUACGACCGCAAGGUUGAAACUCAAAGGAAUUGACGGGGGCCCGCACAAGCGGUGGAGCAUGUGGUUUAAUUNGAAGCAACGCGAAGAACCUUACCAGGUCUUGACAUCCCGAUGCCCGCUUUAGAGAUAGAGUUUUACUUCGGUACAUCGGUGACAGGUGGUGCAUGGUUGUCGUCAGCUCGUGUCGUGAGAUGUUGGGUUAAGUCCCGCAACGAGCGCAACCCUUAUUGUUAGUUGCCAUCAUUCAGUUGGGCACUCUAGCGAGACUGCCGGUAAUAAACCGGAGGAAGGUGGGGAUGACGUCAAAUCAUCAUGCCCCUUAUGACCUGGGCUACACACGUGCUACAAUGGCUGGUACAACGAGUCGCAAGUCGGUGACGGCAAGCUAAUCUCUUAAAGCCAGUCUCAGUUCGGAUUGUAGGCCGCAACCCGCCUACAUGAAGUCGGAAUCGCUAGUAAUCGCGGAUCAGCACGCCGCGGUGAAUACGUUCCCGGGCCUUGUACACACCGCCCGUCACACCACGAGAGUUUGUAACACCCGAAGUCGGU
rnacentral:rRNA from 1 species